AUGGCAAAAAGUCACUACAUAUUGGUCUCAAAUUUCAAAAAACGAGUUCAAGAUCUUAUAACUAAUAGUCAGCCUUGUUAUGAGUAUAUAGAUCAGUUUCCAGCUCUCUCUGAUCCAUUAGGUUAUCUAUUACUGGAACAAGAUUUUGAAAUAUUACAUCCAGAACACGGUUAAAACUUUAUAUUGCUUGGUCAAAAUUAAUCAGAAUUUAUAACUGACAGAGUGAAUUUUAAAGCUAAAAAGCGUUUGGAUAAUGUUUUGACACCUGAGGGCACCAAAGUUGCAAUUAUAUCGUUAAUGCCUCAUUUGUUCCCUGUAAUCACGAUUAAAAAAGGUAAACCAAGAGAUUGGAGACCUUCUAGGGAAGAAUGUGAAGAAGCAUUUCUUUUACAUGUGAAGACGAUUACUGAUUUGGAUGCAAGAUUAGAAGAGCGUAC